CAAACAACUUCGCAGUGUCAACAAAAGAUGAAUGCUGUCAUCCAACACAAGCAGUCAAUAGUUGAGCAUAAACAUGCCACAGUGGCAGCACUCUUCUUCUCAACAACAGGAUCCUUUGCAGCCUCAGAAAGUACAGCAGAAUAACCGCAAAAGGAAAGGGCCUUCAUCCUCUGGAGCUGCUAACAGUACUGGUACAGGAAAUACAGUUGGUCCUUCAUCUAAUUCCCAACCGUCAACUCCAUCCUUCAAUGAAGUCGGUUCAAUAUGUAAAAGUAGUAGCAAAGUUGUCUGCUGUCACUUCUCUUCAGAUGGGAAAUUAUUAGCCAGUGCAGGACAUGACAAGAAGGUUGUUAUUUGGAAUAUGGAAACACUACAGACUGAAAGCACACCCGAGGAUCACAACCUGAUAAUUACUGAUGUUCGAUUCAGACCAUAUUCAACUCAGUUGGCAACUUCUUCAUUUGACACAACUGUGUGACUUUGGGAUGCUGCUGAACCAAAUUGUUUACAGACAUAUAAAGGACAUACCUCGCAUGUCAUGUCACUUGAUUUCCGCCCUAAGAAGACUGACCUUUUCUGCUCAUGUGACCCGAACAAUGAGAUUCGCUUUUGGAAUAUUAAUCAGUAUUCGUGCAUUCAUGUUUCUAAGGGAGGUUCUUCACAGGUGAGGUUCCAGCCAAGAAUUGGACAAUUUAUGGCUGUGGCAUCUGGGAAUGUUGUGUUAAUAUUCGAUUCUGAGAGUGAUGGGCAGACACAUUCACUGCAGGGCCACUCCACAGGGGUGCACUCUUUUUGUUGGGAUACAAAUGGAGAUUAUUUGGCUUCAGUCAGUCAAGAUUCUGUCAGAGUGUGGUCAUUAUCCUCUGGGAAGUGCAUUCACGAGCUCAGUUCUAGUGGAAACAUGUUCCAUUCUUGUGUUUUCCAUCCAAGCUACUCCAAGAGGUCAUCGGAGGCUACCAGGCCUGGGUGCAGUAAAUAUCUUUGGCCACUCUAGCAAAUCAUUACGGUGAAGGAGAUGUAUGUGCAACUGCAUCUGCAUCUGCAUAGGCCUCCAGUUUUGGUCAGGUUACAUGGUAUGAUGCUUGAAGAUUUGCGGAAUGGUAUUGUGGAUGAGGUACUGUGAGCACGUUGCCAUUUGCUUUGAAAGAGUUUGUCCAUAUCAAAGAAGGGUUGCAAUUGUGGAGAAGAAAUUUUUCUAUUUCUGGAUGUAUUGGGAAAUUUUAGUUGGUGAAGUUGUUGUAUGAUGCAUUUUUGAAUAUAGUAUACGGCACAUGAAAUGUAAAGGUGCCAAAUACUAGUAUUUGCUAGUAUUUGGCACAUAUUUUUUUAAUCCAGCUUAAUGAUUUUGCCACUGAUAUCAGUGGAAUUCCUAAGCCACUGAUGUUUGGAUCAGUUGCUUUGGCACUGAUUGAGAUGUAAUUUUGCUUUGGUUAGAGGGAUGACACUGUUAAAUUAUUAGUAUGUAAUGCCCCAAUAGCACCUGCAAUAGAGGGGACUGAUUCCUCAUUAGUGGCUGCACAGUGGGUAAUCUCAGUAGCCAUUCUUAUCAGUGUGUAUUGGGACAAAGGGGACUAAUUCAGAUCAGUAUGGAAUGGGGAAAUUUCUAGUAGUGAGUCAAUGGAGCUCUGGAACAUGGCUGUGAACAAGUGUAUGACGGUUGCUGCUCAUGACUCUGUAAUAUCAGCUUUGGCACAGUCACCAGUUACAAGGAUGGUCGCUUCAGCCAGUCAUGAUAAAUCCGUUAAAGUCUGGAAAUAAAGAGAAAUAUUUUAUGCAGAUCCCGUGUUAGAUGUCUGCGAUCAUCUCAACUGCAGAGAAAGUCGGAAUAAACUUAAAAACAUAGAAGCUCAUUAUUAUACUUUUUACAUUUAAUACUUGUUCGUCAGUAUUCAUGUAAUAAGGUGAUGGUUAAAAUUAACUGUGUUCGAAAGCGAUUUAUACAUGUAAUUUCCAUACUUUUUACA